rnacentral:autocatalytically_spliced_intron from 1 species
AAUUUGGUUUUUUCAAAUAAGAGAGAAACAAACAAGCGAUAUACAAAGAAAAUGCUUCUUCAUUUUUGACACCUCAGAGACUAUAUGUCAGACCCAGAUAUCAUGUCCCGCUGCGGGACACCAUCCGGGAAGAUAUAGUCCGAACUCAUAGGCGACUAUGAG